CCUGCCGCCGGACGGAACAGGCAGCGAGGGUUGGGGAACCCGAUGAGCUGUCCAGACCGAGAGGGCACGGGUCCUAGGGAGCCCGGGUUCCUCGCUCUGGCGAAGGAG
rfam:Actinomyces radicidentis strain CCTG 36733, complete genome.